CUGCUGUGUUGGUGUAAUGUACUCAGGUGAAUAAGAUGUUUGUGUGAUGUUACUCUGAGUGCAUAUCCACACCGGGCAAGCUUGAAAAAUAUGCCUGGCCACGGCGGGAUUCGAACCUACGACCUUUGGAAUACUAGCCCAAUGCUCUUCCAACUGAACUACGCGGUCAGGACGGUUCGAGUAUGCGAUAUUUCGGAACUGAGUCUAGUUCCUUCGAUAUCAGUGUAAUCUAAUAAUCAUGUAAUCUGCUGUGUUGGUGUAAUGUACUCAGGUGAAUAAGAUGUUUGUGUGAUGUUACUCUGAGUGCAUAUCCACACCGGGCAGGCUUGAAAAAUAUGCCUGGCCACGGCGGGAUUCGAACCUACGACCUUUGGAAUACUAGCCCAAUGCA